CACUGCUUUAAAAAAUGUUAUUACUAAAAGUAUAUCCCUUGGAUUUCCUAGAAGUUUGUCUUUAAAUUAUUCUUUACAGCCUAUGCAGUUGUUCCUUUAGAGAGUUUUAGGUAAUAGCCAAGUAAAGGAGUAUCCUGGACACUGAAGACCUUACCCUGGAAAUUCUAUUAUAUGUUGACCAGCUUUUUUGUAGGAGUCGUGAGCUUUCUUUGAACUAUUAUGUGCCUUGGAUUGUUCUCCUUAAGGUUUCAUUAGAAUGACCUUAACUAGUUAAGUUCAAUCAAAAGAGGAAGCACCCCACAUGGAAAUUAUAGAAUUCCAUCUAACCAGUAUUUAGGUAAUAAAGUUGAAAGAAGUUACAGCAGAAUUAGAUCUCUCUUUUUUUUUUCCCCCUGAGACUGAGCCUGUAGCCCAGGCUGGAGUGCAGUGGAAUGAUCUCAGCUCAGUGCAACCUCCACCUCACAGAUUCCAGCGAUUCUCCUGCCUCGGCCUCCCGAGUAGUUAGAACUACAGGUGCCCACCAUCACACCCAGCUAAUUUUUUGUAUUUUUAAUAGAGACGGGGUUUCACCAUGUUGGCCAGGCUGGCCCCCAUCUGGAGGUAUUUGAUUUAGAGGCUCUGUUGUAGCAAUUAUUUAAAGAGGAAAGGUGCUAGAUAUGCCCAUUAUCAGCACAGGAAGAUUAUAUGUCCUAGCCCCUGGUCUUCAGCUUGAAAUCACAUUUCCAGUCCUGUAAAACAUACAUAGAAAUGCUGAAGUGAUUUAUACCUAUAAGGAGCAGCGGCACUGCAUGGUGGUAAACAGCAUGGACUAUGAAGCCAGAAGUCUGGCUCCACUGCUUGUUAGCUGUGUGACUGUGGGAACUUUCCUUAACCUCCUUCUUCCUUCAGUUUUCUUAUGUGUAAAAUGAGGGUAACAAUGGCAUCUACCUCAUAAAGUUUUUUGAGUAUUAAAUAAUAUUUAUAAAGUACUUAAAUAA
rnacentral:lncRNA from 1 species